GCUUAGGUGAACAUCAACACCAGCCCCUUGGUUUUGUUGUUCAGGAGAAGACGGUUCUUAUUACUCCAGACAGUUAAAUAAAUUUAUCAUAAUACACUACAUUUUAACAUAAUGACCUUAUAUUUAUUUAUGACUUUUAACCAUUAUUUCAGAUUCAAAUAAUCCUGUUUGAAAUAUUUAUUAAACUUAUAGAAUUAAAUUUCUGCUAGUUGUUUUCUGUUGCAAAGAAAUCUAGUAUAAUAAUAUUUAAAUUUACAUAUAUAUCUUUCACGUUUUCAAUGCCAAUUUUGUGUAAUACUGUAAUUUCCCACUACCCGUGAAUGCCUCUUGUUUACAUCGCUGGCUCACUCCUGCAUCUCCGCCCACUCUCUGCUCAAUCCCUGCCGAGUGAACGAGAUCUUUGGUUUUGCCUUUGCUGACUGCUGAUCUGAUUGUCUCAAGUCUGGUAAGUAAAGGUUUUUCUGAGGUGCAGUGCUGGGAAAUGUUUCUCAUCAUAGGAGAUUCAGUGUAGUGCUGUGAGUGAGCACAGCUAUUGGUGAUCAUCAAAAGUCAUCAAAUCCUAGAAAAGUCUGUGUAAACAUUUUCAGACCUACAGAGGUUGGUAGGUUAUUGUAGCAGUGCAUAUUUUUUCACAUUAGAGCAGCUCAUGAACAGCAGUUUAGGUACAAUUAAGUCUUCAAGUAGGGCCUUGUGGAUUUCAAAAGCUUCUUUCCCUUCAUUAAAUUAAGUCACUGUCUGAAAACUGCUCUUUGAAUUAGUCUUUUAUAAUUAAAGAUUUUGUUGAUGACUGGAAAAAAUAAAAAGCAUAGCACAGCACUCAUUUCUGUAUUUUAUGAUUAAAUGAUCUACAAAGAAAUUAUGAUCAUAUAUAUUUUUAAUUAGGCCUUUAAAUCGGUCAUUAUAAGUACGUCCUAGAUUUAGUGGAGUGCUUAUGGCUGUGUAUCAAACAUGCCCCAAAUGUGAUUGAAAUAUGUAGAAACAGUAUUGUUUACUUUUAUGUUAACGGAUCUCAAAUCCCUGUUUCUGUGUGCCCAGAUAUUAUGAUGUACUGUUGUCCCAGGUAAGUACACACAGAAACAGGGAUUUGAGAACUUUGGGGAUUAAGGAACAUGUGAUGUGGCAUGAAUUUUAAGUAGGUGGCCUGAAACUGUCUGCUCUAACCUCAGUGUGUUGGUUUUGUUGGACCAUAUAAUAUUUACAGUAAGUUAUUGUAGCAGCACAUCUUGGUGUAAGUUUAUAGACUGUUUGUUUUUAUUGUGUUAAUAGAAUUUGAAUUCAGGCCACCUCAAAUGUUAAAGCCUACAAACAUUCCAUACAAGCUAUCAUUUGUGAUUGUUGCCUACUUUUAAAUUGUGACAUUG
rnacentral:lncRNA from 1 species